rnacentral:rRNA from 1 species
GCAAUCGCCCUUCGGGGUGCCCAGGCGCGAAAACUUUACAAUGCCGGCAACGGCGAUAAGGGGACCUCGAGUGCCAGGUUACAAAUCUGGCUGUCGUGAUGCCUAAAAAGCAUUGCAUAGCAAGGGCCGGGCAAGACCGGUGCCAGCCGCCGCGGUAACACCGGCGGCUCGAGUGGUAACCGUUAUUAUUGGGUCUAAAGGGUCUGUAGCCGGCCGGAUAAGUCUCUUGGGAAAUCUGGCAGCUUAACUGUCAGGCUUUCAGGAGAUACUGUCUGGCUCGAGGCCGGGAGAGGUGAGAGGUACUUCAGGGGUAGGGGUGAAAUCUUGUAAUCCUUGAAGGACCACCAGUGGCGAAGGCGUCUCACCAGAACGGACCUGACGGCAAGGGACGAAAGCUAGGGGCACGAACCGGAUUAGAUACCCGGGUAGUCCUAGCCGUAAACGAUACUCGCUAGGUGUCGGCCACGGUGCGACCGUGGUCGGUGCCGUAGGGAAGCCGUGAAGCGAGCCACCUGGGAAGUACGGCCGCAAGGCUGAAACUUAAAGGAAUUGGCGGGGGAGCAC